CACAGAAGUGAGCUCUUACAUUUAAAGUAAAUGCCACAAUCAUUUUUCCCUUACCUGUUGGCAUUAAUUAAAUGGAAAUGGGUUUUCUACUUCAGCUAUUGUUUUGAGGCCCACUCACCUGUCUCGAUCUUGGAAAAAUGUUUUCCCCCAAAGGGUGUGAGGCAGCAUGUUGCACUAACCAACUGCCAUGACAGAAACUGGCUGUGUCAUCCUGCUUCUUGCCCUGUCCCCGCUUGGCUGCUGGCAGUAUGCUUUGCCUUUUAUCCAUCUCUGCUUAGGGAAAGAGCCCUAGGAGUGAGCACAGCAUGCCUGCCUGGUCCUCCUGGGGCUCAGGUAAAAAGCACAGAGCCUUGCAUGCUCAUGCUGGAGCUGCCUGAAGUGCUGCCAGCAUGUGCCACAGCCAAAAAAACCCGGACACGGGUGGUGCUGCCUGCCCACGCACUUCUCGGAGGGACGUGUCACCGGUGCUUAGUUAACAGCAGUGCCAGAAGGUGCAACACUUCCCUCCUGGUCACGGAGCUCCUAACAGUGGGUGCACUGAAAGGUUUGUGUGCUUCACAGCCUGCUGCCCUGAGGAAAACGAACACGCUCUCCUGCAUCCAGUAUUCGGCCGCAUCGUGUAAACAGACUGUGGUGAUUCUCUCCAGAGAAGGGAAGGAGAAGUCUCGAGCUCAACCCUCAGUGCCCUUCCAGGGCUCAUCAGGACAGCAGCUUCCCAAACACUGUGCUGCAAUUAUCUGAUGGUAUAUCAGUAUUUUUCCUCCCCUGCUGCCUUUUUUCUAGUUUCCUAAAGGAGCGGCAUCGGUCCUUUUAGCAGCUGCCAUGUCAAAAGCAUCCAGGAGGAGACUGCAGGAAGCUGGCAGUGCCUGGGAAAAAUGAAGCAAAGCUGCAGGGAGCCUCCUGGCUGAGUCAGUGGCUUUCUAACAUCUUUCCCAACCAGCGCUGCCCACUCUCACUGAGCUGGACCAGACUCCUGGCAGCAAAGGCCCCGUCCGAGCUGCUCGCAUCCCAGGCAGAGUCAGCAGGCUGACCUCUCCAGUUUGUGAGCAUCAGUGCUUUCCCCUGCUCAGUGUGUGCACCUAGCCUUGCUAGUGCCUCUCCAGCUCCCUUUCUCUUCUUCAUCACCUCUCAGUUGUUGACUGACAGGAGUCGUAAAUAACAUGGUAAUAUUUUCAAAAUGCCUUUGAAAAACUUAAAAUAAUUGAUGUAAGCUGUGUAGAGUGAGAUUGCUGGUGAGGAACGGCUAUGGCAGAUGUAGCAAAUGGGAACCCUGCUGAGGGACUGUUGUUGUUGUCUGGGUAUGGUUCAAAGGUUUAAAUAGGAUUAAGAUAUUGAUGGUUAGUAACAGUAAAAUAAUCUUUAUCUCUCCAGAACAUUAGUGGUGCCACGGAGGAAUACUGCAUGGGUAAACACAAGCUUUCUGCAGUCUAAGUAGUCCAGCUUGAAGCUCACCCAGCCUAGCUGAGGAUUUUCUCAUUACUAACACUACACACCGCUUAUUCUGCUGCACGCUUGCUAAGACCAGAGGCUGCAACGCCCAUAAAUUAGCUACUGGUUUGAAGGGCCUUGGUUGCUCUCUGUUCGUGCAUGGGCAAUUUAAAAAGACCUUUAUUUAAAAAAUAAAUAGCGUAACUCUCUCUUCAUAACGCUUCUCAUCUGCAGCACUGUGAAGGUGAGGCUCCCAGACUCGCUGUGCAUUGGUACUGAUAAUGGGGAUGAACCGUGGGCGUCUGGUUAGGCAGUGGCUGUGAGUGCUUAGUGCCCUAGCAGUAAGUAAAUACUAAUAAUUAAAAAAGGACAGGCUUUAUGCUUACAAAAACUGUCAUUUGCUGGAGGGACAAUGUUAAAGUUAUCUGAUUUGUGUAGUGGGCAGUGGGCUUUUUUCUCCUAUAAAAACAAUAGUUUGAGUUAGAAAGCCUCCCAAACCACCCACUGUUACCCCAACAAGUCCUUUUCAAAUUAAUUUGCACUUGGUAGUAUUUCGAUAGAUAGCACCGGGGCCACACAGUGUGUUUCUGAACAAGUGGUGAGGUUUGGAGGAUGCUGGGGUUGCUACCAGGUCUCAGGAUGCUGGCAGAGUGAAGGCCAGCUUCAAACAGUGUUUGCUGACAAGUGUGGUGGGUGAAUUCCUGUGUGAGUGGGCACUAAUGAAUGUGAAUGAAAGAGGAAGCGUUGGAUCCUGUGCCUUGUUAUGGGGUUUAGUGUGAAGCAGUUAGCUCUGGGCUCUGCUGCCUGCUGGCUGGGAGGUGGCAGAGCACCACAGGGCUCUCUGACCUGGCUGUGGAGGAAGGAAAAACCAGAGCGUGUGCCCCGCUGCAAGGUUUCCAGCCCAGUGGGCAGCCUGAAAAGGGAUGAGUGAUUCAAAUGUGUGAUGGAAACACUGCAGCUGCUCUGGGAAGGAAGUAGCGUGUGCAGGGUGUCUUGGGUGCCUAGUCUAGUUUUAGCCUUGUGUAUUGCUCUUUUUUUUUUUUUUUUCAAUCACCAAAAAAUAAAAACAAAGAACUACCUCACACUGCUUUGGCACCUCUCCUUUCAGAUGUUGCCAGCCUAUGUUGGGCUGGGGCUUGGUCCAGCUUGGGAGGAAGGCCAGGCAAAACUGUCUUGCAAGUGGGGUUGUCUGGAAUAGAGAAAAAACAUGGCUGGUCAGGGACUCCACAUGCUGAGAUUUAAGCUUGCUUUUGGGCACCCCAUGAGACAUUGAAAAGCUCCUGCACAUUGAACCCCCUCUCAGCAAUGUCCCAGGGCUGAUUUUGUCCCGCGGGUGUUAUCAGGAUAACCACAGGUGAAGCAGGGAAAUAAGGCAGUGGCACGAGGCGCUUGGC